rnacentral:rRNA from 1 species
UUAGCCCUAAACCUCAGUAGUUAAAACAACAAAACUACUCGCCAGAAUACUACAAGCAACAGCUUGAAACUCAAAGGACUUGGCGGUGCUUCACAUCCCCCUAGAGGAGCCUGUCCCAUAAUCGAUAAACCCCGAUCCACCCCACCCUCUCUUGCUCAGCCUAUAUACCGCCAUCUUCAGCAAACCCUGAUAAAGGGUGCAGAGUGAGCGCAAAUGCCUGUCUUCGCAAAAACGUUAGGUCAAGGUGUAGCCUAUGAGAUGGUAAAAGAUGGGCUACAUUUUCUACCUUAGAAAACCCUACGAUAACUCUCAUGAAACCUAAGAGUCCAAGGAGGAUUUAGCAGUAAAUUAAGAAUAGAGUGCUUAAUUGAACUAGGCCAUAAAGCACGC